rnacentral:ncRNA from 2 species
AUAUGGUAACAGGGGAGCUAGAACUUAUGGCUGAGAGGGGCAAUCUGCCCGACCCUUAACCUGAUCUGGGUAAUGCCAGCGUAGGGAGGGUUGAGAAUAAGUACG